AGAGUUUGAUCAUGGCUCAGAACGAACGCUGGCGGCAGGCAUAACACAUACAAGUAGAACGGACCCUUCGGGGUUAGUGGCAGACGGGUGAGUAACACGUGGGAACGUGCCUUUAGGUUCGGAAUAAGUCCGGGAAACUGGGUCUAAUACCGAAUGUGCCCUUCGGGGCAAAGAUUUAUCGCCUUUAGAGCGGCCCGCGUCUGAUUAGCUAGUUGGUGGUGUAAUGGACCACCAAGGCGACGAUCAGUAGCUGGUCUGAGAGGAUGACCAGCCACAUUGGGACUGAGACACGGCCCAAACUCCUACGGGAGGCAGCAGUGGGGAAUCUUGCGCAAUGGGCGAAAGCCUGACGCAGCCAUGCCGCGUGUAUGAUGAAGGUCUUAGGAUUGUAAAAUACUUUCACCGGUGAAGAUAAUGACUGUAGCCGGAGAAGAAGCCCCGGCUAACUUCGUGCCAGCAGCCGCGGUAAUACGAAGGGGGCUAGCGUUGCUCGGAAUUACUGGGCGUAAAGGGAGCGUAGGCGGACAUUUAAGUCAGGGGUGAAAUCCCAGAGCUCAACUCUGGAACUGCCUUUGAUACUGGAUGUCUUGAGUGUGAGAGAGGUAUGUGGAACUCCGAGUGUAGAGGUGAAAUUCGUAGAUAUUCGGAAGAACACCAGUGGCGAAGGCGACAUACUGGCUCAUUACUGACGCUGAGGCUCGAAAGCGUGGGGAGCAAACAGGAUUAGAUACCCUGGUAGUCC
rnacentral:rRNA from 1 species